rnacentral:rRNA from 1 species
ACAGCAUGAUGAAGACCAGGCUGAAGACCUUGCCUGAUCCGCUGAGAGGUGGUGCAUGGCCGUCGUCAGUUCGUACUGUGAAGCAUCCUGUUAAGUCAGGCAACGAGCGAGACCCACGCCCACAGUUGCCAGCGAGCCCUUCGGGGUGGCGGGUACUCUGUGGGGACCGCCGCUGCUAAAGCGGAGGAAGGAAUGGGCAACGGUAGGUCAGUAUGCCCCGAAUCUCCCGGGCUACACGCGGGCUACAAUGGUCGGUACAAUGGGUAUCUACCCCGAGAGGGGAUGGAAAUCUCCUAAAACCGGUCGUAGUUCGGAUUGAGGGCUGCAACUCGCCCUCAUGAAGCUGGAAUCCGUAGUAAUCGCGUUUCAACAGAACGCGGUGAAUACGCCCCUGCUCCUUGCACACACCGCCCGUCAAACCACCCGAGUAGGGUCUGGAUAAGGGUGCGCCAUGUUGACGCAUUCGAAUCUGGGCUUUGCAAGGGGGGUUAAGUCGUAACAAGGUAACCAAGGGCGAAU